GACGUAGGGCGCGAGCGUUGUGCGGAUUUAUUGGGCGUAAAGAGCUCGUAGGCGGCUUGUCGCGUCGUCCGUGAAAACUUGGGGCUCAACCCCAAGCUUGCGGUCGAUACGGGCAGGCUAGAGUUCGGUAGGGAAGACUGGAAUUCCUGGUGUAGCGGUGAAAUGCGCAGAUAUCAGGAGGAACACCGGUGGCGAAGGCGGGUCUCUGGGCCGAUACUGACGCUGAGGAGCGAAAGCGUGGGGAGCGAACAGG
rnacentral:rRNA from 1 species